rnacentral:rRNA from 1 species
CCCUUAGAUGUUCGGGGCCGCACGCGCGCUACACUGAAGGAAUCAGCACGUCUUUCUCCUUGUCCGAAAGGACUGGGUAACCCGCUGAACCUCCUUCGUGCUAGGGAUUGGGGCUUGUAAUUCUUCCCCAUGAACGAGGAAUUCCCAGUAAGCGCGAGUCAUAAGCUCGCGUUGAUUACGUCCCUGCCCUUUGUACACACCGCCCGUCGCACCUACCGAUUGAAUGUUUCGGUGAAGAUUCCGGAUAGGACUUUUUUGAUUUAUUUCAAUUUUGUCUUAAAAGCUAUCUAAACCUCAACAUUUAGAGGAAGGUGAAGUCGUAACA